rnacentral:rRNA from 1 species
CCUACGGGAGGCAGCAGUGAGGAAUAUUGGUCAAUGGGCGUGAGACUGAACCAGCCAAGUAGCGUGCAGGAUGACUGCCCUACGGGUUGUAAACUUCUUUUAUGCAGGGAUAAAGUGAGGCACGUGUGCCUUUUUGUAUGUACUUUAUGAAUAAGGAUCGGCUAACUCCGUGCCAGCAGCCGCGGUAAUACGGAGGAUCCGAGCGUUAUCCGGAUUUAUUGGGUUUAAAGGGAGCGUAGGUGGGUUGUUAAGUCUGUUGUGAAAGUUUGCGGCUCAACCGUAAAAUUGCAAUUGAUACUGGCAGCCUUGAGUACAGUGGAGGUAGGCGGAAUUCGUGGUGUAGCGGUGAAAUGCUUAGAUAUCACGAAGAACUCCGAUUGCGAAGGCAGCUUACUAAACUGCCACUGACAUUGAUGCUCGAAAGUGUGGGUAUCAAACAGGAUUAGAUACCCUUGUAGUC